GGGUCGGUAGAUUGGUCAUGCCUCUGGUAUGCACUGGUCUUACUGGCUCCUCCUUCCUGAUGAACCGUAAUGCCAUUAAUUUGGUGUUGCGGGGAGACUGGACUGUUACUUUGAAAAAAUUAGAGUGUUUAAAGCAGGCUAACGCUUGAAUACAUUAGCAUGGAAUAAUGAAAUAGGACGUUCGAUCCUAUUUUGUUGGUUUCUAGGAUUGACGUA
rnacentral:rRNA from 1 species